GAUGAACGCUGGCGGCGUGCUUAACACAUGCAAGUCGAACGGGAUCCAUCAGGCUUUGCUUGGUGGUGAGAGUGGCGAACGGGUGAGUAAUGCGUGACCGACCUGCCCCAUACACCGGAAUAGCUCCUGGAAACGGGUGGUAAUGCCGGAUGCUCCAGUUGAUCACAUGGUCUUCUGGGAAAGCUUUCGCGGUAUGGGAUGGGGUCGCGUCCUAUCAGCUUGACGGCGGGGUAACGGCCCACCGUGGCUUCGACGGGUAGCCGGCCUGAGAGGGCGACCGGCCACAUUGGGACUGAGAUACGGCCCAGACUCCUACGGGAGGCAGCAGUGGGGAAUAUUGCACAAUGGGCGCAAGCCUGAUGCAGCGACGCCGCGUGAGGGAUGGAGGCCUUCGGGUUGUAAACCUCUUUUAUCGGGGAGCAAGCGAGAGUGAGU
rnacentral:rRNA from 1 species